GAUGAACGCUGGCGGCGUGCCUAAUACAUGCAAGUCGAGCGAACGGACGAGAAGCUUGCUUUUCUGAUGUUAGCGGCGGACGGGUGAGUAACACGUGGAUAACCUACCUAUAAGACUGGGAUAACUUCGGGAAACCGGAGCUAAUACCGGAUAAUAUUUUGAACCGCAUGGUUCAAAAGUGAAAGACGGUCUUGCUGUCACUUAUAGAUGGAUCCGCGCUGCAUUAGCUAGUUGGUAAGGUAACGGCUUACCAAGGCAACGAUGCAUAGCCGACCUGAGAGGGUGAUCGGCCACACUGGAACUGAGACACGGUCCAGACUCCUACGGGAGGCAGCAGUAGGGAAUCUUCCGCAAUGGGCGAAAGCCUGACGGAGCAACGCCGCGUGAGUGAUGAAGGUCUUCGGAUCGUAAAACUCUGUUAUUAGGGAAGAACAUAUGUGUAAGUAACUGUGCACAUCUUGACGGUACCUAAUCAGAAAGCCACGGCUAACUACGUGCCAGCAGCCGCGGUAAUACGUAGGUGGCAAGCGUUAUCCGGAAUUAUUGGGCGUAAAGCGCGCGUAGGCGGUUUUUUAAGUCUGAUGUGAAAGCCCACGGCUCAACCGUGGAGGGUCAUUGGAAACUGGAAAACUUGAGUGCAGAAGAGGAAAGUGGAAUCCCAUGUGUAGCGGUGAAAUGCGCAGAGAUGUGGAGGAACACCAGUGGCGAAGGCGACUUUCUGGUCUGUAACUGACGCUGAUGUGCGAAAGCGUGGGGAUCAAACAGGAUUAGAUACCCUGGUAGUCCACGCCGUAAACGAUGAGUGCUAAGUGUUAGGGGGUUUCCGCCCCUUAGUGCUGCAGCUAACGCAUUAAGCACUCCGCCUGGGGAGUACGACCGCAAGGUUGAAACUCAAAGGAAUUGACGGGGGCCCGCACAAGCGGUGGAGCAUGUGGUUUAAUUCGAAGCAACGCGAAGAACCUUACCAAAUCUUGACAUCCUUUGACAACUCUAGAGAUAGAGCCUUCCCCUUCGGGGGACAAAGUGACAGGUGGUGCAUGGUUGUCGUCAGCUCGUGUCGUGAGAUGCUGGGUUAAGUCCCGCAACGAGCGCAACCCUUAAGCUUAGUUGCCAUCAUUAAGUUGGGCACUCUAAGUUGACUGCCGGUGACAAACCGGAGGAAGGUGGGGAUGACGUCAAAUCAUCAUGCCCCUUAUGAUUUGGGCUACACACGUGCUACAAUGGACAAUACAAAGGGCAGCGAAACCGCGAGGUCAAGCAAAUCCCAUAAAGUUGUUCUCAGUUCGGAUUGUAGUCUGCAACUCGACUACAUGAAGCUGGAAUCGCUAGUAAUCGUAGAUCAGCAUGCUACGGUGAAUACGUUCCCGGGUCU
rnacentral:rRNA from 1 species